GACGAACGCUGGCGGCGUGCUUAGCACAUGCAAGUCGAACGGUGAAGCGCCUUCCUUUUUGGUGGGUGUGGAUGAGUGGCGAACGGGUGAGUAACACGUGAGUAACCUGCCCCCUUCUUCUGGAUAACCGCAUGAAAGUGUGGCUAAUACGGGAUAUUCUGGGUCUGUCGCAUGAUGGGUCUGGGAAAGAUAUUGUUUCGGUGGGGGAUGGGCUCGCGGCCUAUCAGCUUGUUGGUGGGGUGAUGGCCUACCAAGGCGGUGACGGGUAGCCGGCCUGAGAGGGUGGACAGUCACACUGGGACUGAGACACGGCCCAGACUCCUACGGGAGGCAGCAGUGGGGAAUAUUGCACAAUGGGCGCAAGCCUGAUGCAGCGACGCCGCGUGAGGGAUGGAGGCCUUCGGGUUGUGAACCUCUUUCGCCAGUGAAGCAGGCCUGCCUCGUUUGUGGGUGGGUUGACGGUAGCUGGAUAAGAAGCGCCGGCUAACUACGUG
rnacentral:rRNA from 1 species